ACGGCGGAAGGCUGCCUGCAGCCUUUUUUGUCUUUCAUGGAACGACAGAUCUGUAUGGAACCUACUUUCAAAUUUUGUCACCACACUCGCAGUGGCGAUGGUGCGCUGUUACCUGUUCAACCCAAAGAAACGUCAUUUGCAAGCCAAGAUUUGGGUUUGAUUAUUUGGGUUUUUAACAAUAUUGGACUUUCAGUUGCGUAGUGAAUGACAACUUCACCAGAAAGAAGACCGACUAAGAAUGGUACUGCGCCAUUUGUUGGCAAGUUUCGAAGUUAAUCGGAGGGCAAAUUAAGUUGAUUCCCAAAAGUUUGGUGCUGUGCUGUUCCCUUCUGUGUCAGCCUGAGGACUGGAGGCCACAGAAUCAGGGACACAACCUUGCUCUCUCCCAAGUAGGUUCUGAUAACGCGCAGCUGUCUCGGACGGCGAACGCAAGAGGAGGCAUUCGAUACAUCCAGGGGGUCAUCAAGUGUCGCUUGUCCUUUCCUGCUUUGCGUCACUUUUCAGUACCAAGCAUGUUCUCUCUGGCACCCGCACUCAAACAAAAAUGACCCACUUUGCCUCUCGAGAAGAGGAACCGUUUCUUUCGUGUAUUUCCUAAACCUACACAGAUGUAAACAAACACGCAUCAAUGUACUUAAUAUGCAUUGAUGUUGAUUGAGGUCAUCUCGUAAGGGACAAAAAAUGUAGCUACACAGCAAAAUAUUCAUUGUCAAUUCAGCACACAGUUAUUAUACGAGUCCACAAGGGAUGAAAAUGUACGCUGUCAGAGUGGAUUUCAGACUUAACAAUUUUGCUGUAUAGAUUUGUGCUCAGCUAAAACAACUUAGUCAGUUGAGGUCUUACCCUAAAUGUUUAAUACUGUUAAAGGGACAGAACGCGUCCUAGCAAGCAAGUGCUUUAUUAAGGUAAACGCAUGACAUUUUGAGCAAGUCAGGCCUGACAAACGCCAUUGAGAUAGCUGAAAGUCAUUUGCUGCGUAAUACAUAUAAUACAGCAUUUGUGCUCUAAACAGUCUCAUGUCUGUUCUGAAAUUCUCAAUCCUGCGCUGGAGCCCUGCCAUUCUUUUUAUGUUCAUAGAAUCACAAAAUUAAAAAAAAUAAACUAAGACAGUGAAGACCAAAGAAAAAGAUGUAAUACCUACUCUUUUCUUUCUCGGUAUGUAGCUGCAGAAGAUGUCGGUUGCAGGAACCGGUACACUGUCGUGUAAAUCAUGGGAAAGCAAUGCUGCAGCUCUUACAACGUUAUAUGGGGACUGACCUGUCCCGAGAUUAAGGCAGCGAUGUGGUCUAUAAAUGUCCAAAUGUAUUGACUGCACCUGGACAUGAGAGCAAGUUGUUUUCUGUUCCACUCUGACUGUCGAGCACUUGAUAUUGGGUUUGUGAAGCUCAGCUAAAUAUCCAAUAAAUGUUCUCCUUUGCAAGACUGCAGUAUAACAGCUGCUGUCUUUUCCUCAGUAGGGCUACCUAGAGUGUGGCAGCGCAAUAGGGAUUUA